rnacentral:rRNA from 1 species
GAUGAACGCUGGCGGCGUGCCUAAUACAUGCAAGUAGAACGCUGAAGGAAGGAGCUUGCUCUUUCCGGAUGAGUUGCGAACGGGUGAGUAACGAGUAGGUAACCUGCCUGGUAGCGGGGGAUAACUAUUGGAAACGAUAGCUAAUACCGCAUAACAGUAGAUGUUGCAUGACAUCUGCUUGAAAGGUGCAAUUGCACCACUACCAGAUGGACCUGCGUUGUAUUAGCUAGUUGGUGAGGUAACGGCUCACCAAGGCGACGAUACAUAGCCGACCUGAGAGGGUGAUCGGCCACACUGGGACUGAGACACGGCCCAGACUCCUACGGGAGGCAGCAGUAGGGAAUCUUCGGCAAUGGACGGAAGUCUGACCGAGCAACGCCGCGUGAGUGAAGAAGGUUUUCGGAUCGUAAAGCUCUGUUGUAAGAGAAGAACGAGUGUGAGAGUGGAAAGUUCACAC